UACGGAGGGUGCAAGCGUUAUCCGGAUUCACUGGGUUUAAAGCGUGCGCAGGCGGUUUUGUAAGCCAGAUGUGAAAUCCCCGGGCUUAACCUGGGAAUGGCAUUUGGGACUGCAAGGCUGGAGUGCGGCAGAGGAGACUGGAAUUCCUGGUGUAGCAGUGAAAUGCGUAGAUAUCAGGAGGAACACCGAUGGCGAAGGCAGGUCUCUGGGCUGACACUGACGCUCAUGCACGAAAGCGUGGGGAGCAAACAGG
rnacentral:rRNA from 1 species